rnacentral:rRNA from 1 species
UACGGAGGGUGCAAGCGUUAUCCGGAUUCACUGGGUUUAAAGGGUGCGUAGGUGGGUUGGUAAGUCAGUGGUGAAAUCUUCGAGCUUAACUCGGAAACUGCCAUUGAUACUAUCAAUCUUGAAUUAUCUGGAGGUAAGCGGAAUAUGUCAUGUAGCGGUGAAAUGCUUAGAUAUGACAUAGAACACCAUUGCGAAGGCAGCUUGCUAACCGAAUAUUGAUACUGAGGCACGAAAGCGUGGGGAUCAAACAGG